UGGAUCAGUAGCUCAGUUGGAUAGAGCAACGGCCUUCUAAGCCGUGGGUCGAGGGUUCGAAUCCCCCCUGGUUCAU
rnacentral:tRNA from 1 species